UGACCGAGUUUACAACUCCCAAACCCCCUGUGACAUACCACUUGUUGCCUCGGCGGAUCAGCCCGCUCCCGGUAAAACGGGACGGCCCGCCAGAGGACCCCUAAACUCUGUUUCUAUAUGUAACUUCUGAGUAAAACCAUAAAUAAAUCAAAACUUUCAACAACGGAUCUCUUGGUUCUGGCAUCGAUGAAGAACGCAGCAAAAUGCGAUAAGUAAUGUGAAUUGCAGAAUUCAGUGAAUCAUCGAAUCUUUGAACGCACAUUGCGCCCGCCAGUAUUCUGGCGGGCAUGCCUGUUCGAGCGUCAUUUCAACCCUCAAGCACAGCUUGGUGUUGGGACUCGCGUUAAUUCGCGUUCCUCAAAUUGAUUGGCGGUCACGUCGAGCUUCCAUAGCGUAGUAGUAAAACCCUCGUUACUGGUAAUCGUCGCGGCCACGCCGUUAAACCCCCAACUUCUGAAUGUUGACCUCGGAUCAGGUAGGAAUACCCGC
rnacentral:rRNA from 1 species